rnacentral:rRNA from 1 species
UACGUAGGGUGCGAGCGUUAAUCGGAAUUACUGGGCGUAAAGCGUGCGCAGGCGGUUCGUUAUGUCCGUUGUGAAAGCCCCGGGCUCAACCUGGGAAUGGCAAUGGAAACUGGCGGGCUAGAGUGUGGCAGAGGGGGGGUGGAAUUCCGCGUGUAGCAGUGAAAUGCGUAGAUAUGCGGAGGAACACCGAUGGCGAAGGCAAUCCCCUGGGCCUGCACUGACGCUCAUGCACGAAAGCGUGGGGAGCAAACAGG